AGAGUUUGAUCCUGGCUCAGGAUGAACGCUAGCGGCAGGCUUAACACAUGCAAGUCGAAGGGCAGCGAGGGGAGUGCUUGCACUCCCUGUCGGCGACCGGCGCACGGGUGAGUAACACGUAUGCAACCUGCCCUUGUCAGGGGGACAACCCAGCGAAAGUUGGGCUAAUCCCGCGUAUAUCCCAAGGGGGCAUCCCCUUGGGAGGAAAGCUUAGGCGGACAAGGAUGGGCAUGCGGCGCAUUAGGCAGUAGGCGGGGUAACGGCCCACCUAACCGACGAUGCGUAGGGGUUCUGAGAGGAAGGCCCCCCACACUGGUACUGAGACACGGACCAGACUCCUACGGGAGGCAGCAGUGAGGAAUAUUGGUCAAUGGCCGAGAGGCUGAACCAGCCAAGCCGCGUGAGGGAAGAAGGCCCUACGGGUCGUAAACCUCUUUUGUCAGGGAACAAAAACCGGUACGUGUACCGGGUUGAGUGUACCUGAAGAAAAAGCAUCGGCUAACUCCGUGCCAGCAGCCGCGGUAAUACGGAGGAUGCGAGCGUUAUCCGGAUUUAUUGGGUUUAAAGGGUGCGUAGGCGGACUGGAAAGUCAGCGGUAAAAUCGAGAGGCUCAACCUCUUUCCGCCGUUGAAACUGUCGGUCUUGAGUGGGCGAGAAGUAUGCGGAAUGCGUGGUGUAGCGGUGAAAUGCAUAGAUAUCACGCAGAACUCCGAUUGCGAAGGCAGCAUACCGGCGCCCGACUGACGCUGAGGCACGAAAGCGUGGGUAUCGAACAGGAUUAGAUACCCUGGUAGUCCACGCAGUAAACGAUGAAUACUAAUUGUCCGGUCAGAAUGAUGGCUGGGUGAUACAGCGAAAGCGUUAAGUAUUCCACCUGGGGAGUACGCCGGCAACGGUGAAACUCAAAGGAAUUGACGGGGGCCCGCACAAGCGGAGGAACAUGUGGUUUAAUUCGAUGAUACGCGAGGAACCUUACCCGGGCUCAAACGCCGAAGGGACAUUCCCCGAAAGGGGAUUGGCCAGCAAUGGUCUUCGGCGAGGUGCUGCAUGGUUGUCGUCAGCUCGUGCCGUGAGGUGUCGGCUUAAGUGCCAUAACGAGCGCAACCCCCACCGACAGUUGCUAACAGGUAAAGCUGAGGACUCUGUGGAGACUGCCGGCGCAAGCUGUGAGGAAGGCGGGGAUGACGUCAAAUCAGCACGGCCCUUACGUCCGGGGCGACACACGUGUUACAAUGGCAGGUACAGCGGGAAGCCAUAUGGCGACAUAGAGCGGAACCCGAAAACCUGUCUCAGUUCGGAUUGGAGUCUGCAACUCGACUCCAUGAAGCUGGAUUCGCUAGUAAUCGCGCAUCAGCCACGGCGCGGUGAAUACGUUCCCGGGCCUUGCACUCACCGCCCGUCA
rnacentral:rRNA from 1 species